UUCAUGGCCCUGAGGAAGAUGGAAAGAACACCUCUAUUUGUAUGGAAAAACAUCAUCACACACCUAAAAAAAUGUCCUGUUAUCCUGAAAAAAAUGUAUAUCCUAAAGAAGCUCAUUUGUACUUCCCAUAGGAGCCUUUUCUCCCUCCUCCCUUUCCCCCACUAAGUUAGGUAUUUAAGCCCCAAGUUCUAAUCACAACUUUGAGUUACUCAUCACUGAACACUCAGGUUUGCAUAAACUCUUCUCUUCUCUUGCUAAUGUGUCUUUUGUCAACUUAAUUUACAGAACCCCAAUCACAGAACCUAAAAGUAUAGAGGAAAAGUUUACCUCCCCUACAUUAUUGAUCUUCUGCCUCCACCUGUAGAGUCUCAGCUUCUAACCCAGGUAAGAUGAUCCGGGAAUCGUCCCCACAAAGGCAUGUUUCCUAAGCCUACUGGUAAUUAUGAGAGAAGAAAAAUUUUCCUUCUAGCUGCACAGGUAUAAAACGGAUGGGUCGGGAUAAACCCACAUUACUCAAAGAAAUAUUUGCAUUUUUAGGCCAACCACUAUCCACAGAAUCUCUGGGCUUAAGAAAAACUAUUCCUUAGGGAGAGCACAAGGAGGAAAUUGCAAAGCAUUUGUCAAAAUAUUUGGCCACCAAAAAAUUCCUGCUUGCUUCACAGAGACAGAUGUGUGAAUGCCACAGCACUCUCUGCUCUGUGUUUUAUGAUCCUCCCCAAAAUAACAGACUCUGUUGGAUUUGCGCUGGUGAUUUGAGAAUAAGAAACUUUAAAAACAACGAGACAACCACUACUCAGGAGGCUGAGGCAGGAGAAUUGCUUGAGUCUGGGAGAUGGAGGUUGCAGUGAGCCGAGAUCACACCACUGUACUCCAGUCUGGCCGACAGAGCGAGACUCUGUCUCAAAAACAAACAAACAAACAAACAAAAAACUAAGGAGGUGGUGGUGAUGAAUGUGACACAAGAAGGCUGAGAGAAAUAAAUGGGUGUUGAUUUUGCUCUUGUUUGGGCAAAAAUUAUAGAUACUGACUUGAGUUUGGAUACUGUUAGCAAAACAUAAUGUUGGCCUGGACAAACACAGUGAGACCCUCAUCUCCACAAAAAAUUAAAAAAGUAAUUGGCAUCGUGGCACACUCCUGUAGUCUCAGCUAUUCUGGAGUCUGAGGCAGGAGGAUUGCUUGAGCCCGGGAGUUUGAGGCUGCAGUGAGCUAUAACAAGAAGAAGAAAUUAAAAAAAAAAAAGAAAUAAAAGAAAAAUACAAGUUUAAGUAGAGGUGUUACAAAGCUAAGACUAAACAUUGGGAGAAUAAAUACAGUAUGUAAAUUUCAAACUUAGAAGAAAAAUGAAAGCAGGUUUGAGCAAAUCAAACAAAGCCAGAAAGAGAAAAACAAGAACAGCGAGAAAGUAUGAAAGACACAAAAUCACUUGGCGGGUGUAAGUCCAAGUAA
rnacentral:lncRNA from 1 species